rnacentral:rRNA from 1 species
GAUGAACGCUGGCGGCGUGCCUAAUACAUGCAAGUCGAGCGAACAGACGAGGAGCUUGCUCCUCUGACGUUAGCGGCGGACGGGUGAGUCACACGUGGAUAACCUACCUAUAAGACUGGGAUAACUUCGGGAAACCGGAGCUAAUACCGGAUAAUAUAUUGAACCGCAUGGUUCAAUAGUGAAAGACGGUUUUGCUGUCACUUAUAGAUGGAUCCGCGCCGCAUUAGCUAGUUGGUAAGGUAACGGCUUACCAAGGCAACGAUGCGUAGCCGACCUGAGAGGGUGAUCGGCCACACUAGAACUGAGACACGGUCCAGACUCCUACGGGAGGCAGCAGUAGGGAAUCUUCCGCAAUGGGCGAAAGCCUGACGGAGCAACGCCGCGUGAGUGAUGAAGGUCUUCGGAUCGUAAAACUCUGUUAUUAGGGAAGAACAAAUGUGUAAGUAACUAUGCACGUCUUGACGGUACCUAAUCAGAAAGCCACGGCUAACUACGUG